GCCUUAGUACGGCGAGUGAAGCGGCAAAAGCUCAAAUUUGAAAUCUGGUACCUUCGGUGCCCGAGUUGUAAUUUGGAGAGGGCAACUUUGGGGCCGUUCCUUGUCUAUGUUCCUUGGAACAGGACGUCAUAGAGGGUGAGAAUCCCGUGUGGCGAGGAGUGCGGUUCUUUGUAAAGUGCCUUCGAAGAGUCGAGUUGUUUGGGAAUGCAGCUCUAAGUGGGUGGUAAAUUCCAUCUAAAGCUAAAUAUUGGCGAGAGACCGAUAGCGAACAAGUACAGUGAUGGAAAGAUGAAAAGAACUUUGAAAAGAGAGUGAAAAAGUACGUGAAAUUGUUGAAAGGGAAGGGCAUUUGAUCAGACAUGGUGUUUUGUGCCCUCUGCUCCUUGUGGGUAGGGGAAUCUCGCAUUUCACUGGGCCAGCAUCAGUUUUGGUGGCAGGAUAAAUCCAUAGGAAUGUAGCUUGCCUCGGUAAGUAUUAUAGCCUGUGGGAAUACUGCCAGCUGGGACUGAGGACUGCGACGUAAGUCAAGGAUGCUGGCAUAAUGGUUAUAUGCCGCCCGUCUUAACACCGGGACCCA
rnacentral:rRNA from 1 species